rnacentral:rRNA from 1 species
UACAGAGGGUGCAAGCGUUAAUCGGAAUUACUGGGCGUAAAGCGUGCGUAGACGGUUACAUAAGUCGGGUGUGAAAGCCCCGGGCUCAACCUGGGAAUUGCAUUCGAGGCUGCGUAGCUAGGGUACGGUAGAGGGAAGCGGAAUUUCCGGUGUAGCGGUGAAAUGCGUAGAUAUCUGAAGGAACACCAGUGGCGAAAGCGGCUUCCUGGUCCAGUACCGACGUUCAGGCACGAAAGCGUGGGGAGCAAACAGG